AAUUUCGUACGAUCCUCCAUUGUUUUGAGUUUUUUUUUUUCUUUCUAAUUCCUGGUUAAACCCUAAUUUUACUUUUUACUCAACCUAAUUUCUUCGUACUUGCUUCGCCAAACCUAAUUUCUUCGUUCACAAGUUUCAAAAUAGCGCCUUUUGGCUUAUGCCUACAAGUCAAACAAAGCUUGACUUUGCUUUGUUUUUUUUGUUUGUUUGUCUUUUGAUUACA